UGUCCCAAGCAACGCCGCGUGGGUGAUGAAGUCUCUUGGGACGUAAAACCCUUUCGACGGGGAAGAAACCGCAAGGUUGACGGUACCCGUAGAAGAAGCCCCGGCUAACUCCGUGCCAGCAGCCGCGGUAAUACGGGGGGGGCAAGCGUUGUUCGGAAUUACUGGGCGUAAAGGGUGCGUAGGCGGUGCGCUAAGUCGGAUGUGAAAACUCUGGGCUCAACCCAGAGCCUGCAUCCGAAACUGGCGUGCUAGAGUUCUGGAGGGGGUAGCGGAAUUCCUGGUGUAGCGGUGAAAUGCGUAGAUAUCAGGAGGAACACCGGUGGCGAAGGGGGGCUACCUGGACAGAAACUGACGCUGAGGCACGAAAGCUAGGGGAGCAAACAGGAUUAGAUACCCUGGUAGUCCUAGCCCUAAACGAUGGAUACUUGGUGUGACUGGGAUUGAAUCCAGUCGUGCCGAAGCUACGCAUUAAGUAUCCCGCCUGGGGAGUACGGUCGCAAGGCUGAAACUCAAAGGAACU
rnacentral:rRNA from 1 species